UAAACUACGAUUAGAUACCCUAUUAUUUUAAAUGUAAAUUAUUUAUACUUGAGUAGUAAUAGUUAUGGGCUUGAAACUCAAAGAAUUUGGCGGUGUUUUAGUCCUUUCAGAGGAACCUGUCCCGUGAUCGAUAGUCCACGUAAAAUCUUACUUAUUUUUGUUUUCAGCUUGUAUACCGCCGUCGUCAGAAUGUCUUUGGAGAGGUAUAAUUUUCUUAAAUUUUUAUUAGAAAUGAUGUCAGGUCAAGGUGCAGUUUAUGAAUAAGUGGAGAUGGGUUACAAUAAAUUUAUUUAAUAUGGAAAUUGUUUUGAAAUAAAUAAUAGAAAGUGGAUUUGAAGGUAAUUGAGUUAAUUAAGUUAAUUUGAUUUUGGCUCUAAAACAUGCACACAUCGCCCGUCGCUCUUA
rnacentral:rRNA from 1 species